CCUACGGGUGGCUGCAGUGAGGAAUAUUGGUCAAUGGUCGGGAGACUGAACCAGCCAAGCCGCGUGAGGGAGGAAGGUACAGAGUAUCGUAAACCUCUUUUUUCAGGGAACAAAGACUUGGACGCGUCCCCGGAUGAGUGUACCUGAAUAAAAAGCAUCGGCUAACUCCGUGCCAGCAGCCGCGGGAAUACGGAGGAUGCGAGCGUUAUCCGGAUUUAUUGGGGUUAAAGGGUGCGCAGGCGGUCUGUUAAGUCAGCGGUCAAAGCCCGGGGCUCAACCCCGGCCCGCCGUUGAAACUGGCAGUCUCGAGUUGGAGAGAAGUAUGCGGAAUGCGAGGUGUAGCGGUGAAAUGCAUAGAUAUCGCGCAGAACGCCGAUUGCGAAGGCAGCAUGCCGGCUCCACACUGACGCUGAGGCACGAAAGCGUGGGUAUCGAACAGGAUUAGAUACCCCAGUAGUC
rnacentral:rRNA from 1 species